AUAAUUAUAAUGAAGCAUGCCGGAAGCUACCUCUUGCAGAACAGCAGAGCGAUCUCCAGUCAGAGGCUGAGCCCGACUCCCAGAGGCCCUCAAAACGAAGAAAAAAGUAAGAUUGUGUAUAUUAUGUCAUUCUUUAACACAGACCUGUCUAACAGAUCCAUGUUUCGUAGUGCAGCUUAAAAAAAAUAACAUGCACGCUUCUUUUUGAACUGCAGAAAGGGAAUAUGUCACUGAAUAAUUAACAUACCACCCUCACUUCAUCAAAUUAAGUGAUCAUUACAUUUCUUGCCUUUUCCAAAGACGAAACGGGCACCUACUGGAUGAUUUUGACAGUAAUGAGGAGGCUACCGCACCCCUAAAAAACAAUUUGGCACAGUCCCCUCAAAUACAGCCACUAUCCAAAAGGAUAUGUUCACCUUCUAAUGAGCAACAGCCAAGUCCUCUAGGACAAAGACAAACACAGCCCUCUGUAUGGCACCAAAACUCCCCGGGUGUGACACAGAUUGCGGAAACUUCAAGACCAUCCCAGCCGUGGCAAGCGAGUAGUUCUGACCGAGCAUCACGAGACAUCACAGAACAUAAGAGUGAACUGACAUGGCCACAGGACACAACUGUACAGUCCCCCGAACAGGCGGCACAGUUACCGUGGCAUCAUGAAACACCCGGACCCCAGAGAAAAAGCCUCUCGAGCUGUGACCCAUUCAUAACAUCACUUCUCCAUGACAUAAUAACUAAACAAGAAAUUCUUAUGGAGCAGCAGAGGAACAUUAUAAGGAUGGUGCAAGAUCUCAAAGCAAACAAUGUUCGUGAAAUCACAGAGGCUAACCAUUUAAGUCCAAAACUGUUUCCAAUGGAAGAUCUAACUUCAUUAACGUCCCUUGAAAGUGAUCUUCGAUCCUGUCCGGAAACGAGACCAAAAGUGGAAACAGACAGUGGGAGUGGAGAAGAUGAAAUGGCUCUCAAGGAUGAAGAAUCCUGUCCGGUACAAAUAGGAGAUCAACGGGCACCAAAGAUGGGCAAACCCUGUGGUCCUAAAUGUGGAAAGAAAUGUACGGAGAAGAUCCCGCAUGUUCGAAGAAAAGAGAUAUUUGAUGCCUAUCAAGACAUGUCACACAGCGACAAGUGGGCUUUUGUAUUUCACUCCGUUACCCAAUCAUUGAAAACACGUCUCACAACGGGAGGUCCCAGCAGACGCAACAAGACUUUUCAGUAUCGUCUAAAUAACAGCCUCGGGCAGCCUCAAGAUGUUUGCAAAACCUUCUACCUAACCACACUGGGAUACCAUCCGAAAAACGACAGCAUGAUUGUCAGCGUGACGGGCAACACGUCCAGUGCUGUUCCUCCUCCAGACCGUAGAGGGCGACACCCACCUGCCAAUAAAAUAGAUCUGUCGCCAAUUCACCAACACAUUGAAACGUUCAAUCCAACUAUCAGUGACUGUACGUGUGAACAUGCUGAAAGCAGGCGAUAUUUAUCAAGCAAUGUAACCGUCAUGAUGAUGUAUAAAGACUUUAAAGGCAAAAGUGCAACUGCGUGUUCAUAUGAAACCUAUAGGAAAGCCAUAAGAGACAUGAAUAUAGGUUUCAGGAAACUGCACGCAGAAGAGUGCAAAGAGUGUCUGGAGCGCGGUAUUCACGUGAAGACUGAGCAUCUCUAA
ensembl:lncRNA